CCCCCCAUCGUUUAGUGGCCUAGGACACCGCCCUCUCACGGCGGCGGCGCCGGUUCGAAUCCGGCUGGGGGGUACCA
rnacentral:tRNA from 1 species